rnacentral:lncRNA from 1 species
AGUAGACAAGGACAUGGCGGUAUGUGUAUGGGACAGCCUUCUAAUAAGUGGGACAGGAGAAACUGUAUCUAGGCCAACCUGCAUCUCCACCAGUAUUUGAGUGGAGGAUACUGUCUGCAAUGGAAAAAAGGUCAACACGGUGCAACAGUCCACUCCCAUUAUGGAAAUGCAUCCCAAAAUUCUCCAAAAUCCACCAUAUCCCAAGUCUCAUCUUAAAGGCUGCUGAACAUCUCUUCCAUGCUUCAGGGAGUGUGACAUAAUCUGUGUGGAUGGACUAAUUGACUACUUGAUUGAGUUCCCUGAAACAAUUGAUCCAGCCUAGCAGCAAGUCAACACCUGACUCCGGACUUCGUUUUCCCCGUUGUAGACAGAAUCCAUGAGGGCCUAAACAUCUCUCUGCAUUGUGCCACUCAGGAUUAGAGGAGAUGGAUGGACAUUGAAAAUAGAGAGGGUCUGGAAUUCUCCCCUGGAGGACUCAGUCAUGCUGAACGCUGACAUCUGAACGCAGCAGGGGGACUGCAUGCCUACUGCCUUGACUUCAGUACUUCCUGCAGUCAAACGACCAAAUCGCCCUCUAGUGGCCUCAUGGGUGGAAUGUUAUUCAUAAUUUCCUAAUUAAUAAAUAUUUUUUUAUCCGGUG